UGCUAACUACGUGCCAUCAGCCGGGGUAAUACGUGGGGUGCAAGGGGUAUCUGGAAGUAGUGGGCGUAAAGUGCGCGUAGGCGGUGCGUGGCGUCCGGUGUGAAAGUCCAUCGCUUAACGGUGGAUCUGCGCCGGGUACGGGCGGGCUGGAGUGCGGUAGGGGAGACUGGAAUUCCCGGUGUAACGGUGGAAUGUGUAGAUAUCGGGAAGAACACCAAUGGCGAAGGCAGGUCUCUGGGCCGUUACUGACGCUGAGGAGCGAAAGCGUGGGGAGCGAACAGGAUUAGAUACCCCAGUAGUC
rnacentral:rRNA from 1 species